rnacentral:rRNA from 1 species
UCUCCUGGGAAACGGGUGGUAAUGCCGGAUGCUCCAGUUGAUCGCAUGGUCUUCUGGGAAAGCUUUCGCGGUAUGGGAUGGGGUCGCGUCCUAUCAGCUUGACGGCGGGGUAACGGCCCACCGUGGCUUCGACGGGUAGCCGGCCUGAGAGGGCGACCGGCCACAUUGGGACUGAGAUACGGCCCAGACUCCUACGGGAGGCAGCAGUGGGGAAUAUUGCACAAUGGGCGCAAGCCUGAUGCAGCGACGCCGCGUGAGGGAUGGAGGCCUUCGGGUUGUAAACCUCUUUUAUCGGGGAGCAAGCGUGAGUGAGUUUACCCGUUGAAUAAGCACCGGCUAACUACGUGCCAGCAGCCGCGGUAAUACGUAGGGUGCAAGCGUUAUCCGGAAUUAUUGGGCGUAAAGGGCUCGUAGGCGGUUCGUCGCGUCCGGUGUGAAAGUCCAUCGCUUAACGGUGGAUCCGCGCCGGGUACGGGCGGGCUUGAGUGCGGUAGGGGAGACUGGAAUUCCCGGUGUAACGGUGGAAUGUGUAGAUAUC